CUCUUUGGAAUUCGUAAAUGGCACUGAUCCUCACCCAUUGAAUUCGAAGCUAUAAAGUUUCUUAGGCACACGUUUGCCCACUCUCCGGGAUCGUCAGUAGUGUGGGCUGGAAUUAACAAACCUGGGCUUUUAACACAGCUCCCUGGUUAACUGGUUGGUAGCCGAUGACUCGAGGCACCUUUAUCUACCUGCUCUGACGUUUUAGUCUGCAAAAUAGAACUAUCCUUGUGUUCCUGAGAGAAACUUUUAUAAUGACAAAACGGUAUAAAAGUCUGGCACCUCACACAGUAGCUUUCAAAUACUAGUUAAUCCAAUCGUGAUGAAAGUCAAAAUAUUAGGCUAGCAGUUGAAGGUGGGUUGGCCAAGGGGGGAGUUGUCCUGUACCAAUUAAAAAAUACUAUAUCUUGCGAAAGGUUUAGGUCAGGGAAGUGUCUGCAGCUAUCAGAACUCAUGGAAUAGAACAGUUAUGAUUUGUACAUUUUAUUGUAUGUAAAUUUACCUAAAAAGGAUGUAAUGCCGUAGGAAAUUAAGAAAGUAAAAAAGAGGAAGUGAAUUACUGUCCUUAAUAUUUUCUCAUAAUGUUCCUUACAAAAUUAGGGCAGGCAGGGCACAGUGUCUAGUGCCUUUAAUCCUAGCACUUGGGAGGACAAAGCCAGCCUAGUCUACAAAUUGAGUCCCAGGACAGCCAGUGCUUGUUACACAAAGAGCCCCUGUUUUGAAAACAAACAAAAACAAAACAAAAGAAAAGAACUAAAUUAGGACUGUGUAACUUAUUUGUUAGAGAGCUUACCUGACAUGCAUAAAGCCACGGGUUUGAUCCCCUGCACCGAAUAAACAUAGAGUAGUGGCACUUCUCUGUAACCCAGCACUCAGGAGAAUGCAAGCAGGAAGAUUAAGUGUUCAGAACCAACUUCAGCUACCUAAAGAAUUAAAGGCCAGCUUGGGAUAUGUGAGAACCCAUGGAAGAAAAGAACAGAUAAAUCAUGAUGGAGCCAGGGAUAGUGGCUCACACCUGUAAUCUCAGAACAUGGGAGGCUCAAGAAGUCAGGACAUUUACUUCAAAUUGGAGGUCAACCUGGGCUACAAGAUGAAACUGUCUCAAAAGGUCACAGGUCAUCAGCUCAGUGGCUCAUAGAGCUGGCCUGGAACUAUGUGAACAAGACUGAACCAGACUGUCCUCCUGCCUUGGCAUCCCCAACACUGGGAUUAAAACCCAAGACUACCAGCCCAUGGAUGGCACCACCCGCAAUGAGCACUCCCCCCUUGA